rnacentral:lncRNA from 1 species
UCACCAAUGGCAAUAGACCUGACUGUUGUCUAAUAUACUUGAUUGUUGAUCAUUCUGAUUAUCUGUCCAAGUACAAAACUAUGCUAACAAGAAAUUGCACAUGAGCAUAUAGAAAGUACCUGAAAAGUUUCAGAUUGUUUAAUGUCUGAACUGCUGAAGUAGUUUCUACUGUUCAAUGAGGAUCAUAAGAUGCAGGGGGAAGGAAACACUCUUAUCAUGUUUUAAUCACAACAACCAAUGCAAUAGUCACAUGGUGUUACUUCGUCCCUUAUACCCGCC